rnacentral:rRNA from 1 species
GACGGAGGGUGCAAGCGUUGUUCGGAAUUACUGGGCGUAAAGCGCGGGCAGGUGGCCUUUUAAGUCCUUUGUGAAAUUCCGGAGCUCAACUCCGGAUGUGCAUAGGAUACUGGAAGGCUAGAGACUGGUAGAGGCGAGCGGAAUUCCUGGUGUAGCGGUGAAAUGCGCAGAUAUCAGGAGGAACACCGGUGGCGAAGGCGGAUCUCUGGGCCUUACCUGACGCUCAGGCGCGAAAGCUAGGGGAGCGAACUGG